AGCUUGCUACCUGACCUAGCGGCGGACGGGUGAGUAAUGCUUAGGAAUCUGCCUAUUAGUGGGGGACAACAUUCCGAAAGGAAUGCUAAUACCGCAUACGCCCUACGGGGGAAAGCAGGGGACCUUCGGACCUUGCGCUAAUAGAUGAGCCUAAGUCAGAUUAGCUAGUUGGUGGGGUAAAGGCCUACCAAGGCGACGAUCUGUAGCGGGUCUGAGAGGAUGAUCCGCCACACUGGGACUGAGACACGGCCCAGACUCCUACGGGAGGCAGCAGUGGGGAAUAUUGGACAAUGGGCGAAAGCCUGAUCCAGCCAUGCCGCGUGUGUGAAGAAGGCCUUUUGGUUGUAAAGCACUUUAAGCGAGGAGGAGGCUACUGAGAUUAAUACUCUUGGAUAGUGGACGUUACUCGCAGAAUAAGCACCGGCUAACUCUGUGCCAGCAGCCGCGGUAAUACAGAGGGUGCGAGCGUUAAUCGGAUUUACUGGGCGUAAAGCGUGCGUAGGCGGCUUUUUAAGUCGGAUGUGAAAUCCCUGAGCUUAACUUAGGAAUUGCAUUCGAUACUGGGAAGCUAGAGUAUGGGAGAGGAUGGUAGAAUUCCAGGUGUAGCGGUGAAAUGCGUAGAGAUCUGGAGGAAUACCGAUGGCGAAGGCAGCCAUCUGGCCUAAUACUGACGCUGAGGUACGAAAGCAUGGGGAGCAAACAGGAUUAGAUACCCUGGUAGUCCAUGCCGUAAACGAUGUCUACUAGCCGUUGGGGCCUUUGAGGCUUUAGUGGCGCAGCUAACGCGAUAAGUAGACCGCCUGGGGAGUACGGUCGCAAGACUAAAACUCAAAUGAAUUGACGGGGGCCCGCACAAGCGGUGGAGCAUGUGGUUUAAUUCGAUGCAACGCGAAGAACCUUACCUGGUCUUGACAUAGUAAGAACUUUCCAGAGAUGGAUUGGUGCCUUCGGGAACUUACAUACAGGUGCUGCAUGGCUGUCGUCAGCUCGUGUCGUGAGAUGUUGGGUUAAGUCCCGCAACGAGCGCAACCCUUUUCCUUAUUUGCCAGCGGGUUAAGCCGGGAACUUUAAGGAUACUGCCAGUGACAAACUGGAGGAAGGCGGGGACGACGUCAAGUCAUCAUGGCCCUUACGACCAGGGCUACACACGUGCUACAAUGGUCGGUACAAAGGGUUGCUACCUAGCGAUAGGAUGCUAAUCUCAAAAAGCCGAUCGUAGUCCGGAUUGGAGUCUGCAACUCGACUCCAUGAAGUCG
rnacentral:rRNA from 1 species